rnacentral:tRNA from 1 species
CUGAAUAGGCGGGCCUUGAUCCCACAAAAAUUAG